AUACGGAGGGUGCGAGCGUUAAUCGGAAUUACUGGGCGUAAAGCGCGCGUAGGCGGCUUGUCAAGUCAGAUGUGAAAGCCCUGGGCUUAACCUGGGAACUGCAUUUGAUACUGGCAGGCUAGAGUAUGGUAGAGGGAAGUGGAAUUCCGGGUGUAGCGGUGAAAUGCGUAGAGAUCCGGAGGAACACCAGUAGCGAAGGCGACUUCCUGGACCAAUACUGACGCUGAGGUGCGAAAGCGUGGGGAGCAAACAGGAUUAGAAACCCUAGUAGUCC
rnacentral:rRNA from 1 species